AAACUAUUAAUUUAAAAUAUAAAAUAUUAAUUUUGUAAAUUAAAAAUAUAAAGUAAAUUAUAUAGUUUA
rnacentral:tRNA from 1 species